GAGUCAAGAGAAGUGUGUACAUUUAAACAGCUAUUUAAUAAACACCACACAUGUUUCGAUACAACAUAGAUCCACAUAUACACAGGAUUUAAAUUAAGCAA